UACGUAGGGUCCGAGCGUUGUCCGGAAUUACUGGGCGUAAAGCGUGCACAGGCGGCUUUGCAAGACAGAUGUGAAAUCCCCGGGCUUAACCUGGGAACUGCAUUUGUGACUGCAAGGCUGGAGUGCGGCAGAGGGGGAUGGAAUUCCGCGUGUAGCAUUGAAAUGCGUAGAUAUGCGGAGGAACACCGAUGGCGAAGGCAAUCCCCUGGGCCUGCACUGACGCUCAUGCACGAAAGCGUGGGGAGCAAACAGG
rnacentral:rRNA from 1 species